rnacentral:lncRNA from 1 species
CCCUGACCACCCAUAAAAUUUGGGCUAUUUUAUUAAAAAGAAUUUCCCUAUAUUUGAUAAUAUCUACUCAUAGUAUUUAGUUCCCACUCUGCAGUUCACUAGCAUUCAGUGGGUGUCUGUGCCCUUCGUCCUUUGUUUCUGUGAUCAGGAAAUAUGACAUUUCAUUUCUUUCUAUAACUUUUCUCUCCCUUUAAGAAUUUAAAAUCAAGUUUAAACUGAGCAUUCAUUCUUCUUUCAGGAAAACAAAACAAAACACUGUUACCUACCCGGAUCUGCCUUCCAGCACAUUCGGUACAAACCCACCAGAACAAAUACUGAAAGUGUUAUUACAAUCAAAGCAAUAACCACCGGCAAAAUAAUACCUAAAAAGAAUUGGAGACAUUGUCAAUUAGAGUGGCUACUGAAUUUCACAGCGAUAGUUUGGUGUCAGAAAUUGGGGAAGAUUACUGCCUGAGACAGCACAGGGCAGCGACAGUGAGAGAUGAAGGCAACAUCAGUGUGCGCCAGAGUUUUGCAACUCCACACGCAGUCCAUCAUGGACCAACAACUGCAGCAUCACCUAGGAGCUGUUAGAAGUACAGACUCUCAGAUCCCACCCCAGAUUCCUGAGUUGGAAUCUGUAAUUUGAUAAGAUUCUCAGGUACAUUAAAGUUCGAAAAGUGGCAUGUUAGUGAACUGAGAUUUCUAUGUCAAGGGAUGUACUUGGUGUUGAAGAGCUGAGUUCAGAGUUCAGAGAGCAGGUGUUCAAAAGCAAGUUCAAGUCAUACAAAAGAGCCAAGAAUAACCCAAGAGCUUCCACAUAUCUCUGUAAACAGGGUUAGAGGUUGUCAGGGUCACAGGCAGGACAGAUACCUUGCACAUUUUUUUCUUAAGAAAUCUCGAUUAUCAAUCUCAAAUUUUCUUUAAAGUGUUUUUUACUAUAACACAAAUAUUGAAACACAAAUAUGUGUACAAAUUAAUGCAUUUUAAUACUGUUUUACUGAGGUAAAAUUUACAUGUAAUAAAAUGCAUAACUUUUGAAGAAUGUGUUGUGUAUAUCAGAUAAUUGCUACUCUGAUUGAAAUAUAAAACAUGUUCAUCACCCCAGAAAUCUCUCUCUUAUCCUCUCAAAUUAAUUUUUAGCCCCUAGGCAACUGCUGUUUUAAUUUCUAUCACUAUAGAUAGUUUUGCUUAUUCCUGAACUUAAUACAAAUAGAAGCAAACAUUAUAUACUUUUUUUGCAUCUAGAUCCUUUUCCUU